rnacentral:rRNA from 1 species
GACGAACGCUGGCGGCGUGCUUAACACAUGCAAGUCGAACGGAAAGGCCCUGCUUUUGUGGGGUGCUCGAGUGGCGAGCGGGUGAGUAGCACGUGAGUAACCUGCCCUUGACUUUGGGAUAACUUCAGGAAACUGGGGCUGAUACCGGAUAGGAGCUCCUGCUGCAUGGUGGGGGUUGGAAAGUUUCGGCGGUUGGGGAUGGACUCGCGGCUUAUCAGCUUGUUGGUGGGGUAGUGGCUUACCAAGGCUUUGACGGGUAGCCGGCCUGAGAGGGUGACCGGCCACAUUGGGACUGAGAUACGGCCCAGACUCCUACGGGAGGCAGCAGUGGGGAAUAUUGCACAAUGGGCGGAAGCCUGAUGCAGCAACGCCGCGUGCGGGAUGACGGCCUUCGGGUUGUAAACCGCUUUCGCCUGUGACGAAGCGUGAGUGACGGUAAUGGGUAAAGAAGCACCGGCUAACUACGUG